rnacentral:rRNA from 1 species
UGGGGAAUAUUGGGCAAUGGGCGCAAGCCUGACCCAGCAACGCCGCGUGAAGGAAGAAGGCUUUCGGGUUGUAAACUUCUUUUAUGAGGGACGAAAAAAAUGACGGUACCUCAUGAAUAAGCCACGGCUAACUACGUGCCAGCAGCCGCGGUAAUACGUAGGUGGCAAGCGUUAUCCGGAUUUACUGGGUGUAAAGGGCGUGUAGGCGGGACUGUAAGUCAGGCGUGAAAACCAUGGGCUCAACCCAUGGCCUGCGUUUGAAACUAUAGUUCUUGAGUGUCGGAGAGGUAAUCGGAAUUCCGUGUGUAGCGGUGAAAUGCGUAGAUAUACGGAGGAACACCAGUGGCGAAGGCGGAUUACUGGACGAUAACUGACGCUGAGGCGCGAAAGCGUGGGGAGCAAACAG